AACGAACGCUGGCGGCAUGCCUAACACAUGCAAGUCGAACGAUAAAUUAGGGUCUAGUGGCGCGCGGGUUCGUAACGCGUGGGAACACGCCCUUAGGAUCGGACUUACUCCCCGAAAUGAGUGCUAGUAACGGAUAAUGUUAUUGGACAAAAGAUUCAGCGCCAUAGGAUGGGCCCGCGGUGGAUUUGCUAGUUGGUGGGGUACUGGCCCACCAAGGCGACGAUGGGUAGCCGGUCUGAGAGGGUGAUCGGCCACACUGGGGCGGAGACACGGCCCAGACUCCUACGGGAGGCAGCAGUGGGGAAUAUUGCACAAUGGGCGCAAGACUGAUGCAGCAACGCCGCGUGAGGGAUGACGGACUUCGGGUUGUAAACCUCUUUUAGUAGGGAAGAAGCGAAAGUGACGGUACCUGCAGAAAAAGCACCGGCUAACUACGUG
rnacentral:rRNA from 1 species